ACACUCCUACGGGAGGCAGCAGUGGGGAAUAUUGGACAAUGGGCGCAAGCCUGAUCCAGCCAUGCCGCGUGAGUGAUGAAGGCCCUAGGGUUGUAAAGCUCUUUCACCGGAGAAGAUAAUGACGGUAUCCGGAGAAGAAGCCCCGGCUAACUUCGUGCCAGCAGCCGCGGUAAUACGAAGGGGGCUAGCGUUGUUCGGAAUUACUGGGCGUAAAGCGCACGUAGGCGGAUCGAUCAGUCAGGGGUGAAAUCCCAGGGCUCAACCCUGGAACUGCCUUUGAUACUGUCGAUCUGGAGUAUGGAAGAGGUGAGUGGAAUUCCGAGUGUAGAGGUGAAAUUCGUAGAUAUUCGGAGGAACACCAGUGGCGAAGGCGGCUCACUGGUCCAUUACUGACGCUGAGGUGCGAAAUCGUGGGGAGCAAACAGGAUUAGAAACCCGAGUAGUCCC
rnacentral:rRNA from 1 species